rnacentral:rRNA from 1 species
AUUGAACGCUGGCGGCAGGCCUAACACAUGCAAGUCGAGCUAGCGGCGGACGGGUGAGUAAUGUAUGGGGACUGCCCGAUAGAGGGGGAUAACUACUGGAAACGGUGGCUAAUCCCGCAUACUAUCGGAUAACCCCUAUGGGCUUAGCUAGUAGGUGGGGUAAAGGCUCACCGAGGCGACGAUCUCUAGCUUGUCUGAGAGGAUGAUCGGCUCUACUGGGACUGAGAAACGGCCCAGACUCCUACGGAGGCAGAAGUGGGAAAUAUUGCACAAUGGGAGCAAACCUAAUGCAGCGAUGCCGCGUGUAUGAAGAAGGCAUAAGUAAUGUAAAUUACUUUCAGCGGGGAGGCGUUAACCGAAGAAGAAGCACCGGCUAACUCCGUGCCAGCAACAGCGGGAAUAC